rnacentral:rRNA from 1 species
UACGUAGGGUGCAAGCGUUAAUCGGAAUUACUGGGCGUAAAGCGUGCGCAGGCGGUGAUGUAAGACAGUUGUGAAAUCCCCGGGCUCAACCUGGGAACUGCAUCUGUGACUGCGUCGCUGGAGUGCGGCAGAGGGGGAUGGAAUUCCGCGUGUAGCAGUGAAAUGCGUAGAUAUGCGGAGGAACACCGAUGGCGAAGGCAAUCCCCUGGGCCUGCACUGACGCUCAUGCACGAAAGCGUGGGGAGCAAACAGG